UGAUCUGGUCGGUCCAUCGCAUGGGAAAC
rnacentral:sRNA from 1 species